rnacentral:tRNA from 2 species
CAGUAAAUAGUUUAAUUAAAAUAUUAAUUUUGGAUAUUAAUGAUGAAUCUUUUUUCUUUACUGA